rnacentral:rRNA from 1 species
CACGCCGUAAACGCUGAUUACUAGGUGUAGGGGGUAUAGACUCCCUCUGUGCCGCAGUUAACGCAUUAAGUAAUCCACCUGGGGAGUACGGCCGCAAGGUUAAAACUCAAAGGAAUUGACGGGGGCCCGCACAAGCAGUGGAGUAUGUGGUUUAAUUCGAAGCAACGCGAAGAACCUUACCAGGGCUUGACAUCCUGCGAAUUCUGUGGAAACACAGGAGUGCCCUUCGGGGAGCGCAGAGACAGGUGG